ensembl:lncRNA
GGGGGGGGGACACAAACACCCGGACACAGAUGAGGGGUACGCAGACACCUGGACACAGCUGUGGGGUUCACAGACACCCGUACACAGAUGGAGGGGGUACACAGACACCCGGACACAGAUGGAGGGGGUACACAGACACCCGGACACAGAUGGAGGGGGUACACAGACACCCGGACACAGAUGUGGGGUACACAGACACCCGGACACAGAUGGAGGGGGUACACAGACACCCGGACACAGAUGGAGGGGGUACACAGACACCCGGACACAGAUGGAGGGGGUACACAGACACCCGUACACAGAUGGAGGGGGUACACAGACACCCGUACACAGAUGGAGGGGGUACACAGACACCCGUACACAGAUGGAGGGGGUACACAGACACCCGUACACAGAUGGAGGGGGUACACAGACACCCGUACACAGCUGGAGGGGGUACACAGACACCCGUACACAGCUGGAACAAUGGUUUCCAGUGUAGCCUCUGUUGUAACCCCGCUGGGCCCUCAGGAGCCGCCAUUCAGAUGGAAAUGUCCCCACAGCGCCACUUGCCAGACGCCUUGACCGCUGCGCCCUAGGUUCACAGCGAACACAAAGUAUACCCGGAACCGCGGCUUCAUAUUCCUAGCAGUGGUUGGUUGUGCGUGAAGGCCGAUGAGUGUUACUGUAAGGAUGGACUGUUACUUUGAGGGUUGAGUGUGUUACCGUGAGGGUGGAGUUUUACGGUGAGGGUGGAGUGUGUUACCGUGAGGGUGGAGUGUGUAACCGUGAGGGUGGAGUGUGUUACCGUGAGGGCUGAGUGUGUUACGGUGAGGGCUGAGUGUGUUACCGUGAGGGUGGAGUUUUACGGUGAGGGCUGAGUGUGUUACCGUGAGGGCUGAGUGUGUUACCGUGAGGGUGGAGUGUUGCUGUGAGGGUUGAGUGUGUUACCGUGAGAGUGGAGUUUUACGGUGAGGGUGGAGUGUGUUACCGUGAGGGUGGAGUGUGUAACCGUGAGGGUGGAGUGUGUUAGGGUGAGGGUUGAGUGUGUUACUGUGAGGGUGGAGUUUUACUGUGUGCUGAUCGUGCUCUUAGGUUUGGCGCUCUGUGUUGCACAGGUGUCCGUCCGUCCUAUGAUUUAAAUCAGAUUACGGACAUUAGUCGUUCCUGACCGCUGCUCUGGGGGUCAUCUUGAGUUGUAUUGUGUGUGUUGUCCACAGUGGGAUCCCCAGUGGUUGGUUAGCUUCGUAGACCGGUGCGUUUUAAGUCCUGCUCUCUGCGGCGGAGGUUAUCGCCCCGAGCAGAGCCCCUCCCCCUCUGCAUGUAGGAGUGGAAUUCUUAUUGGACGAGGAAUGUUGGAUGAGCCAAUGGGAGCGCGUCGCUGGUGCCCGUCGCCUUGUGUUUAGUCUGUCAGAGCGGGGCUGGUUGGCGCUGUUCAGACAGCCCGGCGUUCAGAGCCAGACGGCUGCAGGCCCCACAUUGUUGUGAGCAGCAGACGCUGUGGUCGUCUGACAGCCACACACGCGCUGUUUUGUCUGUCCGUAUUCCGGGCGUGAUGAUAUGUUUAAGUUGGUGGUGGGUAGGUCUGGUAUGAGACAGAAGAACUUUAUGAAAACAUGUUUGAGGCCCUUUUGGUCCCCCUGGCUUCAUCCUGAGUCCUCUGUCUUUAUGUAUUUGUAGAGUUUCUGAGUACACAGUAAAAUAAAUAAUCAUAAUAACAAAAAUAGCAAUGAAAGUGACGUCCAGGUGUGGAGGAGAGAGGAUCGCUAGUGAGAGAGGGCUGCCUGACCAGAGGAGAUCAGGGGCUGGUGAAGUAGCACUAGCUCUGUUUAAUUAGCUAGUGCCCCCCCUCCAGUGAC